AGCCUUUUGCAUUCUCUUUCUUUCUCAUUCCUCCUCAUUCCCUCCCACGCAUCUGCCUUCAGACUCAACCCUAACCUGAAGCUUCGAGCUAGCCGCCGCCGCCGUUGUUUCUCCGGUCACCGACAACUCUUACGCAACCUCCGACGACCGCCGUGAAGAUCGACCCAAAUAUCGUACUAGAAAAGGAACCCUUGCUAUGAAUGUGUUAGAAGUAUGCUCACCUGAAAUGGAAUUUACAUAUGUCUUACUUGGUUGGGAGGGAUCGACACAUGAUGGUCGUAUUCUUCGAGAUGCUAUUUCUAGGCCUAAUGGUUUGAAAGUUCCAAAAGGUUGUUAUUAUUUAUGUGAUGGAGGAUGUACUAAUGGAGAAGGAUUUCUUGCACCAUAUAGAGGGCACCUUUAUCAUCUUAAAGAGUGGAAUAGGGGGCCA